rnacentral:rRNA from 1 species
CCUACGGGAGGCAGCAGUGAGGAAUAUUGGUCAAUGGGCGCAAGCCUGAACCAGCCAAGUAGCGUGAAGGAUGACUGCCCUCUGGGUUGUAAACUGCUUUUAUAUGGGAAUAAAGUGCAGUAUGUAUACUGCUUUGCAUGUACCUUAUGAGUAAGGAUCGGCUAACUCCGUGCCAUCAGCCGCGGUGAUACGGUGGAUCCGCGCGUUAUACGGAUUUAUUGGGUUUAUAGGGAGCGUCGGGGGGUUUGUAAGUCAGUUGUGAAAGUGUGCGGCUCAACCGUGAAAUUGCAGUUGAGACUGGCAGCCGUGAGUACAGUAGAGGUUGGCGGAAUUCGUGGUGUAGCGGUGAAAUGCUUAGAUAUCAUGAAGAACUCCGAUCGCGAAGGCAGCUUGCCGGACUGUAACUGACGCUGAGGCUCGAAAGUGUGGGUAUCAAACAGGAUUAGAUACCCCAGUAGUC